rnacentral:rRNA from 1 species
GACGAACGCUGGCGGCGUGCCUAAUACAUGCAAGUCGAACGAACCGCGACUGAGUGCUUGCACUUGGUCGAGGUGAGUGGCGAACGGGUGAGUAACACGUGGGUAACCUACCUCAUAGUGGGGGAUAACAGUCGGAAACGACUGCUAAUACCGCAUAGGACAUAGAAUCACAUGAUUCUGUGAGGAAAGGUGGCGCAAGCUAUCGCUAAGAGAUGGACCCGCGGUGCAUUAGCUAGUUGGUAGGGUAACGGCCUACCAAGGCGAUGAUGCAUAGCCGACCUGAGAGGGUGAUCGGCCACAUUGGGACUGAGACACGGCCCAAACUCCUACGGGAGGCAGCAGUAGGGAAUCUUCCGCAAUGGACGCAAGUCUGACGGAGCAACGCCGCGUGAGUGAAGAAGGUCUUCGGAUCGUAAAGCUCUGUUGUUAGAGAAGAACAGCGCAUAGAGUAACUGCUAUGCGUGUGACG